rnacentral:rRNA from 1 species
AGUUUAAAUUUCUAGGUAGAAUUAUGAUGAUGACAUUAUCUAUCUAUUAGUCUUGACCAAAUUACGUGCCAGCAGUCGCGGUAAUACGUAGAAGACAAGUGUUAUUCAUCUUUAUUAGGUUUAAAGGGUACCAAGACGGUUAAUAAAGCCCAAAAGAAAUGAAUACGGGGGACACAUUAACUAGAGUUAUAUGAAAGGAAGAAGAACUGUUGAGUGGAGAGAUGAAAUUUAAUUAUACCAUAUGCGUGGCACAGAUUUAUGCGAAGGCAUCUUCUUAUGUAAUAACUGACGUUGUAGGACGAAGGCUUAGGGAGUGAACAGGAUUAGGUACCCCAGUAAUCUAUGCAGAAAAUGAUGAAUGUCAUAGGUUCAAUACUGACUGGUUAAUUUGACUAAAGAAUAGUUUAUGGUGAUAGAUUAACUAAUCAAUGGUGAUAAAUUAACUAAUCAGUCUAUUGUGUCUAUAAAUGAAAGUGUAAGCAUUCCACCUCAAGAGUAAUUUGGCAACAUUGGAACUGAAAUCAUUAGACCGUUUCUGAAACCAGUAGUGAAGUAUGUUGUUUAAUUAGAUGAUACACAAAAACCUUACCACAAUUUGAAUAUAUAUAAAAUAUAUUUACAUGCGCUGCACGGCUGUCUACAGUUAAUGUC